rnacentral:rRNA from 1 species
UAUUGGACAAUGGGGGCAACCCUGAUCCAGCAAUGCCGCGUGAGUGAUGAAGGCCUUAGGGUUGUAAAGCUCUUUCGCACGCGACGAUGAUGACGGUAGCGUGAGAAGAAGCCCCGGCUAACUUCGUGCCAGCAGCCGCGGUAAUACGAAGGGGGCGAGCGUUGUUCGGAAUUACUGGGCGUAAAGGGCGCGUAGGCGGCCUGUUUAGUCAGAAGUGAGAGCCCCGGGCUUAACCUGGGAACGGCUUUUGAUACUGGCAGGCUUGAGUUCCGGAGAGGAUGGUGGAAUUCCCAGUGUAGAGGUGAAAUUCGUAGAUAUUGGGAAGAACACCGGUGGCGAAGGCGGCCAUCUGGACGGACACUGACGCUGAGGCGCGAAAGCGUGGGGAGCAAACAGG